UACGUAGGGUGCAAGCGUUGUCCGGAAUUAUUGGGCGUAAAGAGCUCGUAGGCGGUCUGUCGCGUCUGCUGUGAAAACUCAGGGCUUAACCCUGAGCUUGCAGUGGGUACGGGCAGACUAGAGUGCGGUAGGGGAGACUGGAAUUCCUGGUGUAGCGGUGAAAUGCGCAGAUAUCAGGAGGAACACCGAUGGCGAAGGCAGGUCUCUGGGCCAUAACUGACGCUGAGAAGCGAAGGCAUGGGGAGCGAACAGG
rnacentral:rRNA from 1 species